rnacentral:lncRNA from 1 species
UCUCUUCCUUCCAGUUUUUUAGCUUUAGGCACAAAGGACUGGGAGGCGGAGAGCACGCUGGCACCAGCCCGGUGUGCUUACAUUCAGCAGUAAGCCUGCCAGGAUCAAAUAUACUACAGGGAAAAUAUGAAAUUUGUACAGCUGACAGUUCACUCUUGCUAUGGAGUUUGCCUGUUGCUGGUAGAGGAGCAGAGCAGUGGUUCCAGGGAGGAUACUAAGCUGAGCAGAGCAUGUGUAAUGCCACUACAAACACAUGCAAUCGCGCUCUUACUCCAGAGACGUGUGUGCCAUGGAUCUUUGGCAGCAAGUUGUGAAGUCGGAAAAGCAGUUGUGAAUACAUACUGCUGCGUCUUUGUUCCACCCACUUGGAUCCUGAGCUGGGAUUUUUCUCCUGCUUUUCAUCUCAUUUCUCAGUCUAAUACCCAGGUCACACUUUAAUACAGCAAAUAUAAUUAGAGUGCGGUUACACAGUGUGACUCCAUUUCAUGAUACCUGUAAUUACCAUCCACCCAUAGCUAGGAGGUUCAUUGUUUUGGUGAAACAAACUACUUAUUAUCAGCCUACUUUCUGAGUUAAUAUCUCAUGUUUUAAUUGUGAUGGUACUUUCUGCACAUAUAUCUAAGGGCUUCCUGCGUGACAGUCGUUUGUGUCACACUACGUUUAUGAUUGAGUUCAGUCUAUUUAUAAACAUAUGGUAUUUGUCUGCACAGCAGUAUCAUGUUAGGUUAAUUCCAAAAGGUAAAUCAGUGCUCACAUUAGUAACUUGCACUCUUGAUUCCUACCCUGCUGAAACAUGCAGGAGUUUAAGCAGUGUUCUGGGGUUGGCUCUUGUUUUCAUUAUCUCCCUGUUCUGUGUGCACAGGGACAGAAGUGAUCCAGAGCUGCCUGCAUUACAGGCGACUGGCAAGGCUCGCAAAGCACGGCAGGUCCUUGGGAUCAGGAGAAAAGUCAUGGAGGGCAUAGCUAUUCUCCUUGCAGCUCCUUCUGCAUGGCCACAGUGGCUGUUAUGA